rnacentral:rRNA from 1 species
GAUGAACGCUGGCGGCGUGCUUAACACAUGCAAGUCGAACGGAAAGGCCCUGCUUUUGUGGGGUGCUCGAGUGGCGAACGGGUGAGUAACACGUGAGUAACCUGCCCCUGACUUUGGGAUAACUUCAGGAAACUGGGGCUCAUACCGGAUAGGAGCUCCUGCUGCACGGUGGGGGUUGGAAAGUUUCGGCGGUUGGGGAUGGACUCGCGGCUUAUCAGCUUUUUGGUGGGGUAGUGGCUUACCAAGGCUUUGACGGGUAGCCGGCCUGAGAGGGUGACCGGCCACAAUGGGACUGAGAGACGGCGCAGUCUCCUACGGGAGACAGCAGUCGGGAAUAUGGCACAGUGGGCGGGAGCCAGAUGCAGCGACGCCGCGUGCGGGAUGACGGCCUUCGAGUUGUAAACCGCUUUCGCCUGUAACGUAGCGUGAGUGACGGUAAUGGGUAAGAAAGCACCGGCUAACUACGUG